rnacentral:rRNA from 1 species
GGAGCGACGCCGCGUGGAGGAUGAAGGUCUUCGGAUUGUAAACUCCUGUCAUUAGAGAACAAUUGUCGCCGAUUAACUACCGGCGGCUUGAUAGUACCUGAAGAGGAAGAGACGGCUAACUCUGUGCCAGCAGCCGCGGUAAUACAGAGGUCUCAAGCGUUGUUCGGAUUCAUUGGGCGUAAAGGGUGCGUAGGUGGCGAGGCAAGUCAGAUGUGAAAUCCCGGGGCUCAACCCCGGAACUGCAUUUGAAACUGCCUUGCUCGAGUACUGGAGAGGAGACUGGAAUUUACGGUGUAGCAGUGAAACGCGUAGAUAUCGUAAGGAAGACCAGUGGCGAAGGCGAGUCUCUGGACAGUUACUGACACUGAGGCACGAAGGCCAGGGGAGCAAACGGGAUUAGAUACCCCGGUAGUCCUGGCAGUAAACGGUGCGCGUUUGGUGUGGGAGGAUUCGACCCCUUCCGUGCCGGAGCUAACGCGUUAAACGCGCCGCCUGGGGAGUACGGUCGCAAGAUUAAAACUCAAAGAAAUUGACGGGGGCCCGCACAAGCGGUGGAGUAUGUGGCUUAAUUCGAUGCAACGCGAAGAACCUUACCUAGCCUUGACAUGCAUCUCUAAGUCGGUGAAAGCCGAUGACUGUCGCAAGACAGAAUUUGCACAGGUGCUGCAUGGCUGUCGUCAGCUCGGUCGGA